rnacentral:rRNA from 1 species
GGAUGAACGCCUACAGAAUGCUUAACACAUGCAAGUCUUUGGCGAAUCUGUGCUUGCACAGGCUAGCCAAGGCGGACGGGUGAGUAACGCGUAAAGAACUUGCCCUGCAGACAGGGAUAACAGACGGAAACGACUGAUAACACCUGAUACAAUUGCCGGCAYGCAUGUGCCUGGCAAUGAAAAGAGAUGCUGCRGGAGAGCUUUGCGUCCUAUUAGCUUGUUGGUGAGGUAACGGCUCACCAAGGCGAUGAUAGGUAGCCGGCCUGAGAGGGUGAACGGCCACAAGGGGACUGAGAUACGGCCCUUACUCCUACGGGAGGCAGCAGUGGGGAAUAUUGGACAAUGGGGGCAACCCUGAUCCAGCAAUUCUGUGUGCACGAAGAAGGUUUUCGGAUUGUAAAGUGCUUUCAGCAGGGAAGAAGAAAGUGACGGUACCUGCAGAAGAAGCGACGGCUAAAUACGU